AUUGAACGCUGGCGGCAUGCCUUACACAUGCAAGUCGAACGGCAGCACGGGUGCUUGCACCUGGUGGCGAGUGGCGAACGGGUGAGUAAUACAUCGGAACGUACCUUAUCGUGGGGGAUAACGCAGCGAAAGCUGUGCUAAUACCGCAUACGCCCUGAGGGGGAAAGCGGGGGAUCGCAAGACCUCGCGCGAUUAGAGCGGCCGAUGCCUGAUUAGCUUGUUGGUGGGGUAAAAGCCCACCAAGGCGACGAUCAGUAGCUGGUCUGAGAGGACUAGCAGCCACACUGAGACUGAGACAUGGCCCAGAAUCCUGCGGGGGGCAGCAGUGGGGAAUUUUGGACAAUGGGGGCGAGCCUGAGCCAGCAAGGCCGCGUGAGUGAAGAAGGGCUUCGGGUUGUAAAGCUCUUUUGUCAGGGAAGAAACACCGGCUCUAACACAGUCCGGGAAUGACGGUACCUGAAGAAUAAGCACCGGCUAACUACGUGCCAGCAGCCGCGGUAA
rnacentral:rRNA from 1 species